GCAGACAGGAGUCCUGAAGACAUAAAAGACCAUGAAGUAGUUUAACAACCAGUUUACUUGAGUUACUUAGAGUCAGUCUUUCACACUGCAAGAUUAUCUGCUUUACCUGUGCACAGUAGAUAAGUAUCUGGCCCGUAUUAUUUACAGAAAACCCAAAGGCUGCAGGAUUUAAAUUUCAUGAAAUAAGAAGAUUCCAGAUCUAUCUCCUUAGGACUGAGACAGGAAUUGGUUUUUGAACCGUUCCUUUUCCGUUGCGACUGAAGGUGGAGCCCUUGAGCUGCGUCCCAGAGGCUGCCUCAGCAGGAGAAUUUUCAAACAAGCUUUUGUAGUUCGCAAAAGGACACGGAGCAAUUUAGCAAGAGGAAAAAAAAAAAGUCGCUUUUCGUCCAACUCCUGGCUUGCCACCUCGCAUAGCUUGUGGCGGAGCCUAGAUCAGCUUCGAAAUGGGACAGACAAAAGGUAUCAGAAGAGCAUCUGUACCCAGACACUCACGAGCUUUACUUCAUUCCAAUUAGAACCUCCUGAAGGUCGUGGUCGACAACAUUUAGAGAUGUAUGCACACAUUGGAGUGGAGAGAGCAGGGUUUUGAACCCAUACCAGUUUAACUCCAACUUGUGUGCCAUUUUCAUUGUAAUAAAAACUUUGCAUGCAUUUACAAGAAA